rnacentral:antisense_RNA from 1 species
AUCUGUAUAAUAAGAAAUUUACAUUGCAAUUAGCCAACCGCUUAUUUAUUGCAAAUCUUCAGCAUACUCUUGGAUAAGCGAUAUUCACUUCCUGUAGCUCCUCCUUUUAUUCCUCUUCGAUUGCUUUGAUCGAUUCGUAUUAGAUCCAGAGUUUGUGUUCAAUGAACUUCUAUUGCUGUUUAUGUUCAUUACAUCAACUUCACUUUUUUCAGUGACCUUCCUACUCGCAUUUAGAGAAUUUCUAUCAUAAAGUCCAUCUUCUAAAAAUUCAUUAUCUUCUUCAACAAUCAUUUCUAGACGAUCUUCAUUUUGACACUCAUGAUUAUCUCCAACUUCGCUUCCUUCAGAAAUAUCUGAUCCAUUUAAGCU